AACGAACGCUGGCGGCAGGCCUAACACAUGCAAGUCGAGCGGAUCCUUCGGGAUUAGCGGCGGACGGGUGAGUAACGCGUGGGAAUAUGCCCUUCUCUACGGAAUAGCCUCGGGAAACUGGGAGUAAUACCGUAUACGCCCUACGGGGGAAAGAUGUAUCGGAGAAGGAUUAGCCCGCGUUGGAUUAGGUAGUUGGUGGUGUACUGGCCUACCAAGCCUACGAUCCAUAGCUGGUUUGAGAGGAUGAUCAGCCACACUGGGACUGAGACACGGGCCAGACUCCUACGGAGGGCAGCAGUGGGGAAUCUUAGACAAUGGGGGAAACCCUGUUCUAGCCAUGCCGCGUGAGUGAUGAAGGCCUUAGGGUUGUAAAGCUCUUUCAGCUGGGAAGAUAAUGACGGUACCAGCAGAAGAAGCCCCGGCUAACUCCGUGCCAGCAGCCGCCGUAAUAC
rnacentral:rRNA from 1 species